rnacentral:rRNA from 1 species
UACCAGACUCCUACGGGAGGCAGCAGUAGGGAAUCUUUCACAAUGGGCGAAAGCCUGAUGGAGCAACGCCGCGUGCAGGAUGAAGGCCUUCGGGUUGUAAACUGCUUUUAUAAGCGAGAAAUAUGAUGGUAACUUAUGAAUAAGCACCGGCUAACUCCGUGCCAGCAGCCGCGGUAAUACGUAGGGGGCAAGCGUUAUCCGGAUUCACUGGGUGUAAAGGGAGCGUAGACGGCGACGCAAGUCUGGAGUGAAAGCCCGGGGCCCAACCCUGGGACUGCUCUGGAAACUGCGGCGCUGGAGUACGGGAGGGGCAGGCGGAAUUCCUGGUGUAGCGGUGAAAUGCGUAGAUAUCAGGAGGAACACCGGCGGCGAAGGCGGCCUGCUGGACCGUGACUGACGUUGAGGCUCGAGAGCGUGGGGAGCAAACAGGAUUAGAUACCCUUGUAU